GACGAACGCUGGCGGCGUGCUUAACACAUGCAAGUCGAACGAUGAAGCUGGAGCUUGCUCCGGUGGAUUAGUGGCGAACGGGUGAGUAACACGUGAGCAAUCUGCCCUUGACUCUGGGAUAACUGCGGGAAACUGUAGCUAAUACCGGAUACGACACCUUCGGGCAUCCGAUGGGUGUGGAAAGAAUUUCGGUCAAGGAUGAGCUCGCGGCCUAUCAGCUAGUUGGUGAGGUAACGGCUCACCAAGGCGACGACGGGUAGCCGGCCUGAGAGGGUGACCGGCCACACUGGACUGAGACACGGCCCAGACUCCUACGGGAGGCAGCAGUGGGGAAUAUUGCACAAUGGGCGCAAGCCUGAUGCAGCAACGCCGCGUGAGGGACGAAGGCCUUCGGGUUGUAAACCUCUUUUAGCAGGGAAGAAGCGAAAGUGACGGUACCUGCAGAAAAAGCACCGGCUAACUACGUGCCAGCCGCCGCGGUAA
rnacentral:rRNA from 1 species